rnacentral:tRNA from 1 species
GCCGCCGUAGCUCAGCCGGUGGAGCGUGGGACUGUUAAUCCCGAGGUCAGCGGUUCGAAUCCGCUCGGCGGCG